rnacentral:rRNA from 1 species
UACGUAGGUGGCAAGCGUUGUCCGGAAUUACUGGGCGUAAAGGGCGCGUAGGCGGCCUUCUAAGUCGGACGUGAAAUCCCUCGGCUCAACCGAGGAACUGCGUCCGAUACUGAAAGGCUUGAAUCCGGGAGAGGGAUGUGGAAUUCCAGGUGUAGCGGUGAAAUGCGUAGAUAUCUGGAGGAACACCGGUGGCGAAGGCGGCAUCCUGGACCGGCAUUGACGCUGAGGCGCGAAAGCUAGGGGAGCAAACGGG